UUCUUAUUCAGAGAAGCCGAGGGAUCUGGUCCGUUGACGCUUCAGCAACCUAUCUUGAAUGAUGUGGUGCUCCUUCCAGCAAGUGAUGAAUCACUUGAAAGAUAAGAA
rnacentral:ncRNA from 2 species